CUUGUUACACGUGUUACAACCACAAAGAAGGCGGUAAGGACAGUUGUUACACGUGUGACAACCACAAGGAAGGCGUUAAGGACAGUUGUUACACGUGUUACAACCACAAGGAAGGCGUUAAGGACAGUUGUUACACGUGUUACAACCACAAGGAAGGCGUUAAGGACAGUUGCAACAGGUGAGAAAGGAUGUUGUAACUUCCAGAGAGAGUACCGACUCAACUCUGAAUCCAGUACCAAUGGAAAACACAGCAACCACCCUCAAAUAAGAGCUGACACAUAGCCUACACUAACCCUUAUCCUGGAACUGGGCAAGAAACAUCAUGCCAGAGCCAAGGGCAAGAAGGCUAUUCUCUGGUUUACAUUAGGACUUUUCUAAGACAGCAGCAACACGAGAGGAAGGGCCGAUUCACAGUUCAGCCCAACACUGUUGGAGGCACAUCGUCGGAACACAUGCGACAGGAGCACACCACAGAAAUGCCCGCCAUCUUAGCAGACGUGAACAGAGACAGGCUGGCCCCCAGUGACCCACUGACAAUGGUAGAGCUCAAGUCCCCAAAGAUCCCACGACCUCUCUACAGUGCCAGACACGGAAGCCUGUGGGGACAAGACAAACCCUCUGUAACAGGUGAGGGGGAUUUAAGUAUUAUUUCAUUAUCUGUUUGUUAGGAGGAUAUAAGGAUUAUUAUUCCAUUAUUGUGUGUUAGGAGGAUGUGAGUAUUAUUUCAUUAUUUGUGUGUUAGGAGAACUGGGAUAACAUGACUUGGAAAGACAUUAGCUGAACAAUCGGGGUGAAGUGGGCUAGGACGACCUGCAACAGAAAAGCCCCCUCUGGAAACACACAGCAACUUAUAGGAAAAAACUAACAGAAAACUUUCGAUUUGCAGAAAAACUAUUGGUAAGAAACCUACUUCCAAGAGGGACUCCUAGGCAGAAGCCUUUAAUCAUAUUACUUGAGACUGACAACUGGCUUUUACAGGCCCUUCGAAGAGAAGCCUUCCCUAGAGCUGCAGGUCCAGUCAGUCUGCCACCUUUGUUUCCUGUGAGCCCUGAAGAGAUUCACAAUAGUGAAUAGGGCUUGGGCCACCCUCCCGUUCAGACUGAUCAGGGGGUGAUCCUUCAAGGUUUUAGCAGGGCUGUAUCUCCCAGGACUAACUAGUUAGAGAGCUAUGGCUCAGGAGCUGGUAAGAUGUCCAUAAACAAGAACAACUGUAAAGCAGCUCACAAGAACUAAAUUUUAAGGAAUUAGGAGCUCUUCAUACCCCAAGAAGGCAUGUGGGUAGCAGUUCUAGUCAGGACUGAGUUCUCUGAAAUAAAUGAACCAGGAUAUUUUUGUCUAUGAUUAACAUUUAAAAAAAUUUAUUUUUAUGUGCAUUGGUGUUUUGCCCGU